rnacentral:ncRNA from 2 species
GCCUCAUUCAGAAGCGCCCGAGAGAACUGGCUCGUUGACGGCGCGGCAACCAGGGCCUCAUUUCGCCCACGGUGCUCCGGCCAGCCUGCCGCGCAGGGUUACGAUGACCCGCCGCGCAGGACCGAUGAGGG